rnacentral:lncRNA from 1 species
CCGCCGCCGAGCCUGUUGUAGGGGUUUUUCAUGAAAGCCUUGACCAAGCCGACGCCGCAGAUGGCGCCCAAGCACUGAGCCACCAUGUACGCCACGGCCCGAAUCAGCGAGACCUUCCGGGCCAGGAACAGCCCGAACGUCACCGCAGGGUUGAUGUGGCCGCCUGAAUUCGAUUUCGACGUGUUCACAGUUAGGUUCACGAUUUGGGGAAAUUUCUAGGGAUUUGGAGGGAGAUUUGAAUUUGAACCUGAGAUGCCGGCGGUGCAGUAGACGAGGAUGAAGAUCAUGCCGCCGAAGGCCCAGGCGAUGCCGAGGAGGCCGACGCCGUCGCACUGGUCGAGAGCGUUGAGCUUCUUGUGGCCGAUGACGGUGGCGACGGUGACGUAGAGGAAGAGGAGUGUGGCGAUGAACUCGGCGA